AGAAACUGCAGUAAAACCUACAUAUCCAGAAUUGUGCCAGCAACCAUACCCAUAUCCUGCUCCCAUAAAGAAGUACCAGCAAAACCAUAGGAGCCAGGAAAAGGACAAAAUGGAGUGCAAAACAGAGUGGAGAUGGAAUUUUGUAGCUACCAAAGAUCAACCUGUGUAGGUAGAAUAAAAAGAAUAUAGUUCCAGAAAAGUGCUUAGGAUUGCAAGACUCCAGAACAGGAACCGUUAUGGCAAGGUGAAUCUUGCUUUAUCUUUCUCUUCGUAAAGGAAUAUGCUACAAACAAGAAUUUGAAUUCAGACAGUUGCGAAACUUGAACUCAUUAAACUGAACAACUCCU